rnacentral:rRNA from 1 species
GCUCAGAUUGAACGCUGGCGGCAGGCCUAACACAUGCAAGUCGAGCGGUAGAGAGAAGCUUGCUUCUCUUGAGAGCGGCGGACGGGUGAGUAAUACCUAGGAAUCUGCCUGAUAGUGGGGGAUAACGUUCGGAAACGGACGCUAAUACCGCAUACGUCCUACGGGAGAAAGCAGGGGACCUUCGGGCCUUGCGCUAUCAGAUGAGCCUAGGUCGGAUUAGCUAGUUGGUGAGGUAAUGGCUCACCAAGGCUACGAUCCGUAACUGGUCUGAGAGGAUGAUCAGUCACACUGGAACUGAGACACGGUCCAGACUCCUACGGGAGGCAGCAGUGGGGAAUAUUGGACAAUGGGCGAAAGCCUGAUCCAGCCAUGCCGCGUGUGUGAAGAAGGUCUUCGGAUUGUAAAGCACUUUAAGUUGGGAGGAAGGGCAUUAACCUAAUACGUUGGUGUCUUGACGUUACCGACAGAAUAAGCACCGGCUAACUCUGUGCCAGC